rnacentral:lncRNA from 1 species
GAUGAAUUUGCUAGCUCUUUCUUAGAUGGAUGAUAUCACUAAACACGCAGAGUCCAGGUCCUGAAACAAGAUGGUCCUAUGGUUCCGGGGCUGCUCAGGGUUGUGUUCAGAUGCUGGGUUCGAUUCUAGAAUCCACAUUUUCAGAGGACCCCUGGCUAGGUGGAGUCUACGCCUGAGAAGAUGAUUUCAAGACAUGGAAAGAUCUGGGAAGAAUUUCUCUAUCAUCUAUCUGCCAGGGACCCACUGGGUUCAAUAACAUAUAAGUGAGCUCCCUUUUGAUUCUAGGGUUUGGCGAUUCCCCCAAUGGAUUAGGACGAACCAAACUCCUGACCAUCUCUUGUGCUUCGUAUAACCACCUGCUCCCAUCAUGGAUGCUGGUUAAUGCCUUCAACAAAUUGGAUAACACCCACCCACACUGGUGAGUAUGGCUCCUCUACUCCGUCUACUGAAUCAAAGGCAACCCUUUCCAGAAACACCCUCACAGACGUACCCAGAAAUAAUGUUUCACCAGCUACGUGGGUGUAUCCCUUCAUCCAGUCAAAUUGACACAAAAAAUUAGGGGCACCUGGCUUUCUUCAGUCAGUUAAGUGUCUGACUCUCAAUCUCAGCGCAGGUCUUGAUCUCAGGGUUGUGAGUUCAGGCCCUGCCUUGGGUUCUGUGCAGGGUGUGAAGCCAACCUAAAAAAGAAAAAAAAAAAAUCGACACACAAAAUUAAUCAUCACAAAAAGUGGAGACGGGUAACGGUCUCCCGUUCUGGCUCAAAGUGGAAACUUUGAUUCCACGCAUGCCUAGAUUAUACGAAGUCCCCUGUAUCAUCCCAAAGCCCACAUCACCUCCAAAAGUCAAGAAAUGCCCUUGCAUCCAGUAAUGGAAAGAAGGACCCACUGUUCCUGGCUUUUGUUGUAAAAAUGGAACACAAGUACAUAUUCUUUGGGACUAGAGAAUCCUAUAUCCGCGAAGACGGGUUGUUUUGAGUUGCGUCUUUGCGCUUCCCACCCUCCAGGCCAGGGAGUUAGAGCCACAACUGCUGAGUGGGAAGUCCAGGAACUUUCCAUUUAUUACCGCUAUCAGCCCGAGGGGCCCCUCGGGAAGUGUGGUCUUGCUUCCUUGGUCUCAUGCUCAGGCAAGGGACCUCCAGGCCAAAGUCAGCUCAGACUUCUCCAGCGUGGAGAGCUGCUGUUCUCUGAGUAACGUGGCCCUCUAGAUGGGCAUGUUGGAUCCUGUGUUCUUGUUCUCCUUCCAAGCCUCAAGGCGGACUCAAGCCCUCUGUGUUUCUGCUGCACAGCAAACUGAUAAGGGUCCACACUGACACUUCCCAAGGGAACAGUUCUGGCAAGGACAGCAUCCAGUGGUGGUGACCACUAGGUGAUAUCAUUUAUCAUCUAGAUCAGAACACUUUUGCUCAGGACAAAUGCUAUAGUCAAUGGAAGCCCAAGACAACCAGCAUCUAAGACUGUCCCAGACAAACCAGGACUAUGGUCACCUUAACUAUAAGCCACCUGAAGGACCUAGAACGUCCAUCCACUUACAUUUACCCCCAAAUGUU